GACGAACGCUGGCGGCGUGCCUAAUACAUGCAAGUCGAGCGAGAGGCGGACGGGUGAGUAACACGUAAGGAACCUACCGAUAAGCGGGGGACAACAUCCGGAAACGGGUGCCAAAACCGCAUACUUAUCGAUGGCCUUGCGGGGCAUUAGCUCGUUGGUGGGGUAACGGCCUACCAAGGCAAUGAUGCAUAGCCGACCUGAGAGGAUAAGCGGCAACACUGGGACUGAGACACGGCCCAAACUCCUACGGGAGGCAGCAGUGGGGAAUCUUGCGCAAUGGGCGCAAGCCUGACGGAGCAACGCCGCGUGAGUGAAGAAGGUUUUCGGAUCGUAAAGCUCUUUUGUAAGAGAAGCGGUAUCUUACCAGAAAGCCACGGCUAACUACGUGCCAGCAGCCGCGGUAAUAC
rnacentral:rRNA from 1 species